rnacentral:rRNA from 1 species
CCUACGGGUGACAGCAGUGGGGAAUAUUGGGCAAUGGGCGCAAGCCUGACCCAGCAACGCCGCGUGAAGGAAGAAGGCCCUAGGGGUGUAAACUUCUUUUGUCAUGGACGAAACAAAUGACGGUACCUGACGAAUAAGCCACAGCUAACUACGUGCCAGCAGCAGCGGUAAUCCGUAGGUGGCAAGCGUUAUCCGGAUGGACUGGGUGUAACGGGCGUGUAGGAGGGAGAGCUAGUCAGAUGGUAAAGUCCAGGGCUCAACCCUGGAACUGCAUUUGAAACUGUUUUUCUUGAGUGAUGGAGAGGCAGGCGGAAUGCCGUGUGUAGCGGUGAAAUGCGUAGAUAUACGGAGGAACACCAGUGGCGAAGGCGGCCUGCUGGACAUUAACUGACGCUGAGGCGCGAAAGCGUGGGGAGCAAACAGGAUUAGAUACCCCGGUAGUC